UGUCGUCAGCUCGUGUCGUGAGAUGUUGGGUUAAGUCCCGCAACGAGCGCAACCCUUGCCCUAUGUUGCCAGCGGAUCAUGCCGGGGACUCAUGGGGGACUGCCGGUGAUAAACCGGAGGAAGGUGGGGAUGACGUCAAGUCAUCAUGGCCCUUAUGUCCAGGGCGACACACGUGCUACAAUGGCCGACACAAAGGGCAGCAAUACCGCGAGGUGGAGCGAAUCCCAAAAAGUCGGUCCAAGUUCGGAUUGGAGUCUGCAACUCGACUCCAUGAAGCCGGAAUCGCUAGUAAUCGUAGGUCAGCCAUACUACGGUGAAUACGUUCCCGGGCCUUGUACACACCGCCCGUCAAGCGAUGGAAGCUGGGGGUACCCGAAGCCGGUGGCCUAACCUUCGGGAGGGAGCCGUCGAAGGUAAACUCAGUGACUGGCGCUAAGUCGUAACAAGGUAGCCGUAGGGGAACCUGCGGCUGGAUCACCUCCUUU
rnacentral:rRNA from 1 species